rnacentral:lncRNA from 1 species
GGCCUUAAGAGCAAAUCCUACAAUUGCUCAACUGAAGCAACAUAGUGAGGAGGUUGCAAAAAAGUUCAAAGCCUUGUCUUGUAUCCAGUCGGCUGUGUCUGAUGGAAUAUUCACCAGGAUAAUAACCUGUGAAUCAGCAAAGGAGGCCUGGGACAGGUUGCAGGAGGAGUUCAGAGGCAAUGCAAGAACAAGACAAAUGCAAGUCUUGAACUUAAGAAGAGAAUACGAAGGCCUGAAGAUGAAGGACACUGAAUCUGUCAAAGACUAUGCUGAUAGACUGAUGAAGGUUGUGAACAAAAUAAGGUUGUUAGGAGAUGACCUUCCUGAUAGGAGAAUAGUGGAAAAGGUUUUGAUAAGCUUACCAGAAAAAUUUGAGGCUAAGAUAUCAUCUCUUGAAGACUCAAGAGAUCUUUCCACUAUAACUCUAGCUGAAUUGAUAAAUGCUCUCCAUGCCACUGAACAGAGGAGGCAGCUGAGGCAAGAAGAAGAACAGGUCGAAGGAGCUUUGUUUGCAAAAG